rnacentral:tRNA from 1 species
CGUGGGGUGGUGCAGUGGAAAGAACCCUGGACUGGGGAGUCAGGAGACCUGGGUUCAAGUUCCAGCUCCACCA